rnacentral:rRNA from 1 species
CCUACGGGAGGCAGCAGUGGGGAAUAUUGGGCAAUGGGCGCAAGCCUGACCCAGCAACGCCGCGUGAAGGAAGAAGGCUUUCGGGGUGUAAACUUCUUUUCUCAGGGACGAAGCAAGUGACGGUACCUGCGGAAUAAGCCACGGCUAACUACGUGCCAGCAGCCGCGGUAAUACGGGGGUGGCAAGCGUUAUCCGGAUUUACUGGGGGGAAAGGGCGGGUAGGCGGGACUGCAAGGCAGAUGUGAAAACCACGGGCUCAACCUGUGGCCUGCAUUUGAAACUGUAGUUCUUGAGUACUGGAGAGGCAGACGGAAUUCCUAGUGUAGCGGUGAAAUGCGUAGAUAUUAGGAGGAACACCAGUGGCGAAGGCGGUCUGCUGGACAGCAACUGACGCUGAGGCGCGAAAGCGUGGGGAGCAAACAGGAUUAGAUACCCCGGUAGUC